rnacentral:rRNA from 1 species
CCUACGGGAGGCAGCAGUGAGGAAUAUUGGUCAAUGGGCGUAAGCCUGAACCAGCCAAGUAGCGUGAGGGAUGAAGGCCCUAUGGAUCGUAAACCUCUUUUAUAAGGGAAUAAAGUGUGGGACGUGUCCUAUUUUGUAUGUACCUUAUGAAUAAGGAUCGGCUAACUCCGUGCCAGCAGCCGCGGUAAUACGGAGGAUCCGAGCGUUAUCCGGAUUUAUUGGGUUUAAAGGGUGCGUAGGUGGCCUUUUAAGUCAGCGGUGAAAGUUUGUGGCUCAACCAUAGAAUUGCCGUUGAAACUGGGGGGCUUGAGUAUGUUAGAGGCAGGCGGAAUGCGUGGUGUAGCGGUGAAAUGCUUAGAUAUCACGCAGAACCCCGAUUGCGAAGGCAGCCGGCUGGGCCAUGACUGACGCUGAGGCACGAAAGCGUGGGGAUCAAACAGGAUUAGAUACCCGGGUAGUC